UACAGAGGGGGCAAGCGUUGUUCGGAAUUACUGGGCGUAAAGGGCGCGUAGGCGGCCUUCUAAGUCGGACGUGAAAUCCCCGGGCUCAACCCGGGAACUGCGUCCGAUACUGGAGGGCUUGAAUCCGGGAGAGGGAUGCGGAAUUCCAGGUGUAGCGGUGAAAUGCGUAGAUAUCUGGAGGAACACCGGUGGCGAAGGCGGCAUCCUGGACCGGCAUUGACGCUGAGGCGCGAAAGCCAGGGGAGCAAACGGG
rnacentral:rRNA from 1 species